AACGAACGCUGGCGGCAUGCCUAACACAUGCAAGUCGAACGAGACCUUCGGGUCUAGUGGCGCACGGGUGCGUAACGCGUGGGAACCUGCCCUUAGGUUCGGAAUAACUCCCCGAAAGGGGUGCUAAUACCGGAUAAUGUCUUCGGACCAAAGAUUUAUCGCCUUUGGAUGGGCCCGCGUUGGAUUAGCUAGUUGGUAGGGUAAAAGCCUACCAAGGCGACGAUCCAUAGCUGGUCUGAGAGGAUGACCAGCCACACUGGGACUGAGACACGGCCCAGACUCCUACGGGAGGCAGCAGUGGGGAAUAUUGGACAAGGGGCGAAAGCCUGAUCCAGCAAUGCCGCGUGAGUGAUGAAGGCCGUAGGGUUGUAAAGCUCUUUUACCCGGGAUGAUAAUGACAGUACCGGGAGAAUAAGCUCCGGCUAACUCCGUG
rnacentral:rRNA from 1 species